UCGAGCAUGGUUUUCUAUCCUGCCGGGGAGGGCGAGAGCGCUGGGCAGAGGUGGCACCUGACCCGCUAGAACUCCGAUGUCACUGCUGUGGCUGUUACUCCCCUCGGCAAGAGUCAAGGCGCACGCAGGACGUGAAUCCUGCAAUGGACUGACCUCAUCUUCCCGAGGCUGUGAUGUUUCAGGAGAGUUUCACUAUUGCUGACCAACUGAGACCACCAGGAGCUCCUAAGUGCAAAGAAUGGCUACAUCUUUUCUUCUGGAUACCACCAGAUCAUUCCAGCCACCUGCCUUUGUGGUGUCUCCAGACAAGGGCUGACAACCAUCGAAGCAUCGAAACCCUAAGGCUACUUGGAGAGAAGAAGACUGUCCCUGGAGAAGUUGAAUUUGAAGAUCCCUGGGAUGCCACUGACGCUGUCCACAAGCUAGAUGGGAGAACACUAUGGCUGAUGCUCACACUAUGUGGCUGCCGUGGAUGAAUGGAA
rnacentral:lncRNA from 1 species